UUUAAAACCGACUAAUGCCGAGACGGAGUAUCAUUUAGUAUCUCUUACGGUUAAAUUCACAUUUUGAAUUCUUGUACAGCUUCGGCGUUUUCAGCAUGUAUUGCAAGUGUAUUUUAUUGGUUGUCUUUUUUUUCUGUAUUCAAUACGGUGAUUCCGUAGGCCCAUUACAGACGUUGGAAGGAUAUUUUAAUAGAGAAAAUAAAAAAAAUGUACUGCCCUAUGAUGCGUACGUAUCGUAUGUACGACAAAACUAUAAUUUACCAGAACAUUACAAUAAAUUGGUCAAUGAAAUUGGUGAACGCUACAAGCAUGGUAUCAGUAAGGAAGAAUUUAUUUGGGCAAUUAGUACAGUAGACAGUGAAGUUAAAUAUCCACAAGGUUACACUCCUAAUAUCACUUCUGGUUCAAGACAUCUUGCAGAACUUAUCGAGAAGUCCAAAGCGAUGGAUAAAAAUUUUGAUGGGCAUUAUUUUGAUAAAAAUCAAAAAUAAUAGAUUAUUAAAUAUUGUUUAAAUGAUUUUGUUGAAUUAUUUAAUCUUGCAGAUUUAUGUUGUACCGUACCGUGUGUUUUAACAUUAAAAUUCUAGUUCUCUAUUAGUUUGUAACAGAAACAU